GAUGAAGAACGCAGCGAAAUGCGAUACGUAAUGUGAAUUGCAGAAUUCAGUGAAUCAUCGAAUCUUUGAACGCACAUUGCGCCCGCCAGCACUCUGGCGGGCAUGCCUGUUCGAGCGUCAUUUCAACCCUCAGAACCCCUUUGGGGGAUCUGGCGUUGGGGAUCGGCAGUCCUGCCGGCCCCGAAAUAUAGUGGCGGUCUCUCUGUGACCUUCCCUGUGUAGUAGCGAUACCUCGCAGCGGGAUAGCCGUUUGGCCACGCCGUAAAACACCCAACUUCUCAAGGUUGACCUCGAAUCAGGUAGGAAUACCCGCUGAACUUAAGCAUAUCAAUAAGCGGAGGA
rnacentral:misc_RNA from 1 species